AACGGUGGUCUUGUCUGUUGUUGCAGACAUGCAGGUGAAGCUUUGGAUGAAUAAGUACGGCUGGACGGAGGACGAGGAAGGACAGAUCUUCAUCUUCAACCAGGAGGAGAGCGUGAAGCCCAAGAACAUCGUGGAAAAGAUCGACUUUGAGAGUGUAUCCAGCAUCAUGGCCACAUCUCAGUGAUACACACACACACACACACACACACACACACACACACACACACACACACACACACACACACACACA